GGCAAGAGCAAAAUACAUAUGGACAUUAUCCCAAUGCCGACUAUGCAUCCUCCUCCUCGGGCAGCGAAAGACCAAAUUACCGCAGACAACGUUUUUUCAACCGGCGCGGGAACCGAUCCCGCCGAAAACAAAGAGGAUACGGAGGGGACGACACUCUAGCCGAAACAGAGAUACCGUCAAUGCAGACCAGGUCCCAGGUAGUGACCUAGUCAUUAAUAUCUCUUCUAGAACCUUAUCUCCCGCUGAGAUAUCGGUACUCUCAAAAGGUCUCUCCUUCUGUCCCAUUUCCUCUUUACAUCAGUUUGAUCUUACUCAAGACCUACAUAGAUUUUAUCGCUCAUUGCGAUUAAAAGCGUUUUUUGCAUUGUCAACCCCUACUGAUAAGUCCAUUAGUCAUGAUAAUCUGUCUGUAUUACACCUAGGUCUUAAAUCCAGAAGCACUUUCAUGCCCCCUAAAUCUGAUCAUAGUGUCGAAGCCUAUAUUGACCUCGUUGAUAAAGAAAUACGACAGGUACUAGAUGCCCAGAAAAAGGGUACAUAUCCAACAUCGAAGAAUCUAUCUAAUAUUGAACAUACAGCUCUCAUGACUCUUACCAAUGACUCUAACAUUACAAUCAAACCUGCCGAUAAGGGGGGCGCCAUAGUGGUGAUGGACACCAAAUAUUAUAUCCAAGAAAUUCAAACCCAACUUUCAGAUACAGCAACAUAUGAGCUAAUUUCAUCCAAUCCUACUUUCAAAAUUCAGAAAGAAAUUAAUUCAUGUUUAGAUUCUGCCUUACAAGAUGGCAUAAUCGACAAGGCCACAUUUGAUUUUUUACACAACGAUCACCCGACGAUGCCAGUACUAUAUACACUCCCCAAAAUUCACAAAAACCUAGAAAAACCACCAGGCCGGCCAAUCGUAGCCUCGACCAACUCACUACUUUCUCCUUUAUCUAUUUAUUUAGAAAAAAUUCUGACACCACUGAUUAAAAAAACGGAUUCAUUUCUUUUAGACACUAGCCAUUUCCUCAAUAUCAUCUCCACUAUGGGUCCCUUACACCAGGACACUUUCUUGGCAACCCUCGAUGUUUGCAGCCUAUAUACCUCCAUAUCUCAUGAUGGGGGUAUACAGGCUGUUUUCAAUAUCCCUCAGACCUCCUCUUUAUCUCCUAUACAACAAAAGUUCUGCAUUGAUUUAUUACAAUUAGUGCUACGACGUAACUAUUUCAUGUUUGGGGACGAAUAUUACAUACAACGGAAGGGUACAGCAAUGGGGGCCAAUGUAGCCCCCCCUUAUGCAAAUGCGUUCAUGGCAAACUUCGAGUCAACACAUGUAUACUCUUACCCUACCUUUCAACAACAUUGUAAAAUAUGGCGCCGCUACAUCGACGAUAUCUUCCUGGUGUGGGAAGGUACCCGCGAUUCGUUCGACCAAUUUUUUGACUUUCUUAACAAUAUCACAGCAGAUUUACGAUUUACGGUUACCAUCAGUAAACAUUCAGUUCAUUUUCUUGAUACACUAAUAGUCAAGACUGAUGGCAUACUUACAGUGGACUUAUAUAAGAAACCCACUGAUAGAAAUACCCUUCUUCUUUUUUCUAGCAAUCAUCCUCAAAAAACCAAAACAUCCUUACCUAAGUCACAAUUUAUGCGGGUCGGACGAAUCGUGAGUGAAUCCCACACCAGGGAGACCCGUCUACAAGAAAUGGCUCGAAGGUUUCGCACACGCGGUUAUCCGCAAUCACUUUUAGACAAGGAGCUAAAACAAAUAUCUUUACAGACGGCCUCCAUCGUUAGAUCUAGCGACAAACCCAAUCCCGUUCCACGAAUACCGUUUAUUACUACCUACCACUCUUUAGUACCAAAAAUACAUCAGAUCAUCCGUAAACACUGGCCAUUGCUCAAAAAAUUUCAUCCAGAAAUUACAGAAUUCUCUUAUCCAAUGAGAAUGUGUUACAAGCGCCCCCGUAACCUGAGAGAUUCCUUGGUUCAUGCUGACAUUGGUCCACAAAAACCCAAAUUUAUACAGCCCACUUUGGCUCCUCGGAAAAAUGGGACGUUUCCCUGUCUAAAUUGUGCUCAAUGUACCAAUGUGAAAAAAGGCAACACAUUCACUCAUCCACAUUCCGGCAAAAUAUAUAACAUUAAAGGCUAUUACUCUUGUGCUACAUCUUAUGUAGUAUACCUGAUUAAAUGCCCAUGUGGUCAGGCAUACAUUGGUGAAACCUCUCAAUCCAUCCGAGACCGGAUCAGUAAACAUAAAUCCGACAUUAGGUGUAAAAAAACGGAACUCCCCAUACCUCACCAUUUUUUACAGUUACAACAUACAGUUAGCCAGCUACAAUUCCAGGUUAUCGAUCACAUACCAAUGCCUAGACGGGGUGGCAAUCGCAAACUGCUAUUGCGGCAACGAGAGUCCUUCUGGAUUUAUGAACUAAAAACUAUUACACCUUAUGGACUAAAUCGUGAGUUUGACCUAUUAAUCUAAACUAUAUAUACUUAUAUUGAUAUAUUCAUUUGUAUGCAGUGCUUGAUCAUAAUUGUCUUCCUAAUUAUAUACUUCUCUUGUUUUAUCUCCUGUCUCUCCCUUCAGACGCGCUGAUACUUAGGUAUAGGUAGGCCUAUAAACGUAAAUAUAUGUUGUUCUAAUAUUCCUAAUUUCUUGAUUUAAUCUGUUUUGGAUGUUGACAGAUAUUAGAUAAUGACAAUGAGGGCGACCGAUAUUUUAGAUUGUAUUGGGUCUAUUAUCCAACAACAAAUAUACUUAAGUCUAUUUCAUAUAUACACAUUACCCUCAUCCUCAUAUUAUCUUCAUAUUAUCUUAUACUAAUUUGUACUAAUUUAUUUCUGUAACUAAUCCAGACAUCUAUAGUGAUUUAGAAGAACUGUGAUCCGGAAUUCAAUUUGACGAUUGUACAUAAUACAAUAUCCCAAGAUACAAGAUGAAUAAUAAUUUACCUUAUGGAAAAUGAACAACUCGACUAUCUGCCAAUUCUGAUCAUAUUCAUACUUAAACCACUGCCAAAGUUCUUCUAUAUCUGAUGAUAAUGUUUAUUUCGUUGUAUACGCUGUUAUUCUAUAUAUUAAUAUGCCGCCAUUUACUCUGCUGUCCGGUGUCUUGGAGCUAUGUGUAUUCCCUUGGACGAGAUCACUAUUCAUUUCCACGCAUGCGCCAUCUACCGAUUUGCGCGUCUAGGCAACACUAGAUACCUAGUGAUGACUCACUACCUAAGCGCACUGCGUUCCACACAUAUGCGACGCGAUCUGAUGACGCGGCGCGAUGAUGUCAGACGCCGCUUCCCACGUGUUAGCUCACUAUAAAUGAGCAACACAUCGUCAGUUCAGACUAUACCACCAACGAUUACACACAGCUCCUGAGCACAUCGGUAAGAUACUUGACUAUUGUUUCAAUCUUGAUCUUGGACUGCAAUUCGAAUGUCUCAUGUAUGCAAACUCCUUUGUUAUAUUACCUGGUUCUUCUGAUAAGAUAUGCAUUAGAAGUUUCAAUCUGUACUUAUGAUAGAGUUCAUAUAUAUUUUGGUGGUGGACUACUUGCGCUCCAUGGCUGAUAGCUGGUAAUGUAUGACCCCUAUUUGCACAUUUUUUGAUUAUAUUCAUAUUAUAUACAUAGCUGCCUAUAUUCAUAGGACUUUUUGACCCUGGUGUCAUUAAUAACUUUUUAGUAUCCAUUCGAUACUCUUUAUUGCUUUAAGCGGAUUUUGAUCCCAUGGCCCGCCCUCGCCCUGGGCUCUUUUUUUCCCCACCACUAUAUAUAUACAUUCAGCUGUCCUGGUUAUGACUUUUUCUUAUUAUGUGGAUUUUUUAUCUUUUUUACUUUUCUUUGCUUUUCUUGAUUAUUAUUCAGUGUUUGAUGAUUGUACUCCAACAACCUAUUGAUGGUAUCUAUAUAUUUCUCUGUAUUGCCCACAGGCCGUGACCAAGGUCCGGUUAGGACCGAAACGUUGGCCCUGCUUUUUCAGUUUUCUCUGAUACUAAAUGUUGUUGGUGUUGGACACAAUAAAAAUACGAUAUUCUUUUUCAAACUAAAUUAUGGUUGAGUGUGCCGUGGAUUUAUAUAUUAUAUAUUAGUGGCAUUAACAGCCUCUCCGCUGAGCACCUCCAUUUUGGGAUCUAUCCCCUCAUAAAACAGAGUGCCAUUCCAAUCUUUUUUGAUAUAUAUUGCCUUGUGGGAUUGUGCACCCGUCCUUAUGUCCACCUCGACUUUCUCCUACGAUACCGCUACAGCUGAUGGGAUUGUCUCUAAAGUGACAGCCUCUAGUGACUUUCUACAUAUCUCGCAUAGCGAGGUUAAAACUAGAGACCUUGAAAGGGAGCAUAAGAAACUUAUUGGCUCUGAGCUCCACUGUGCUACUCUAGCUGAAUACUACAAGAAUGCCUUAAUACCACGUGGACUAAGAGUUCAUCUUAGACCGAAUCUUUUUCCAAGUAACAAAGAUUACUGCGAAAAAUUUGAAACAAUACUUAAUAAAUGCUCGAUGGACAUUAUUGUCCUCAGCAUAGAUUAUUUACAAAAAUCUAUUCUUGAAUCAAAAGAUAAAAUUGCGGCUAUUGAGACACAGCUUUCAGCUACUAUUUCCCCUCAGGAGCUCUGUGACCUCAAAAAUCAAAUUGAAAAAACCUUGGACGAACAUCGUAAAUAUAUAGAACAAACCAAAAGGUCCAAAUACAUCCGUGAUACAGAAGACUAUCAGUUACACCGCGUAUACAGAUGGCAAUGGCAAGAGCAAAAUACAUAUGGACAUUAUCCCAAUGCCGACUAUGCAUCCUCCUCCUCGGGCAGCGAAAGACCAAAUUACCGCAGACAACGUUUUUUCAACCGGCGCGGGAACCGAUCCCGCCGAAAACAAAGAGGAUACGGAGGGGACGACACUCUAGCCGAAACAGAGAUACCGUCAAUGCAGACCAGGUCCCAGACGCGCUGAUACUUAGGUAUAGGUAGGCCUAUAAACGUAAAUAUAUGUUGUUCUAAUAUUCCUAAUUUCUUGAUUUAAUCUGUUUUGGAUGUUGACAGAUAUUAGAUAAUGACAAUGAGGGCGACCGAUAUUUUAGAUUGUAUUGGGUCUAUUAUCCAACAACAAAUAUACUUAAGUCUAUUUCAUAUAUACACAUUACCCUCAUCCUCAUAUUAUCUUCAUAUUAUCUUAUACUAAUUUGUACUAAUUUAUUUCUGUAACUAAUCCAGACAUCUAUAGUGAUUUAGAAGAACUGUGAUCCGGAAUUCAAUUUGACGAUUGUACAUAAUACAAUAUCCCAAGAUACAAGAUGAAUAAUAAUUUACCUUAUGGAAAAUGAACAACUCGACUAUCUGCCAAUUCUGAUCAUAUUCAUACUUAAACCACUGCCAAAGUUCUUCUAUAUCUGAUGAUAAUGUUUAUUUCGUUGUAUACGCUGUUAUUCUAUAUAUUAAUAUGCCGCCAUUUACUCUGCUGUCCGGUGUCUUGGAGCUAUGUGUAUUCCCUUGGACGAGAUCACUAUUCAUUUCCACGCAUGCGCCAUCUACCGAUUUGCGCGUCUAGGCAACACUAGAUACCUAGUGAUGACUCACUACCUAAGCGCACUGCGUUCCACACAUAUGCGACGCGAUCUGAUGACGCGGCGCGAUGAUGUCAGACGCCGCUUCCCACGUGUUAGCUCACUAUAAAUGAGCAACACAUCGUCAGUUCAGACUAUACCACCAACGAUUACACACAGCUCCUGAGCACAUCGGUAAGAUACUUGACUAUUGUUUCAAUCUUGAUCUUGGACUGCAAUUCGAAUGUCUCAUGUAUGCAAACUCCUUUGUUAUAUUACCUGGUUCUUCUGAUAAGAUAUGCAUUAGAAGUUUCAAUCUGUACUUAUGAUAGAGUUCAUAUAUAUUUUGGUGGUGGACUACUUGCGCUCCAUGGCUGAUAGCUGGUCAUGUAUGACCCCUAUUUGCACAUUUUUUGAUUAUAUUCAUAUUAUAUACAUAGCUGCCUAUAUUCAUAGGACUUUUUGACCCUGGUGUCAUUAAUAACUUUUUAGUAUCCAUUCGAUACUCUUUAUUGCUUUAAGCGGAUUUUGAUCCCAUGGCCCGCCCUCGCCCUGGGCUCCUUUUUUUCCCCACCACUAUAUAUAUACAUUCAGCUGUCCUGGUUAUGACUUUUUCUUAUUAUGUGGAUUUUUUAUCUUUUUUACUUUUCUUUGCUUUUCUUGAUUAUUAUUCAGUGUUUGAUGAUUGUACUCCAACAACCUAUUGAUGGUAUCUAUAUAUUUCUCUGUAUUGCCCACAGGCCGUGACCAAGGUCCGGUUAGGACCGAAACGUUGGCCCUGCUUUUUCAGUUUUCUCUGAUACUAAAUGUUGUUGGUGUUGGACACAAUAAAAAUACGAUAUUCUUUUUCAAACUAAAUUAUGGUUGAGUGUGCCGUGGAUUUAUAUAUUAUACUUCUCCAGAUAAGGCACACAAAAGCUCGCUUGGCCUUUGCAAAAGCUCAUCUGGACAAAGAAGAAGACUUCUGGUCUUCUGUGUUAUGUAUCUGUAAAGAAUAAAUCAAGGCAACUGGACGUACUGUAGAUUUCUUGAAAACAUUUCACUUGUUGAGGAAACGUCACUUGUUGAGGAAACUCGAUUUAGAUUUGCAAACGGCUUGAGAUAUGUCACACUGCAGAACUUACUGACAAGCAUAUGAAAGCUAUAGAGCAGGAUAAAAACGACUGACAAUAUCAAUAUGGCCUCUUCACAGCAGCACAAGUUUCAACACAAGAGUCGCUCGCACAACUCACCUGAGCAGAUGCCUGGAUCAUGCAAGUAUUGUGGCAGUUUGCAUUUACGUGUGAAAGAAAAGUGCCCUGCAUAUGGGAAAUUCUGUACUGCAUGCUAUAAGCUAAAUCACUUUGCAAGGGUGUGUCUCUCCCAUGCCAUACAGUGCUGCCCAUAAUUAUUCAUAUCCCUGACAAAU